GCAUUCUAAUAUUUACAAUACUUUUACUUAUUCAAUUAAAUAAUAUAUAUUCAUGACAUUUCUCUAACUUAAGUUAGUUAAAUUUAUAAGGUUUGUAUCAGGAAAAAAAAAAGGUGUAUUUUUAAACUAAUGGUACACCCAAAUGCCGAGCAUGACAUAACCAUUUUCAAUAUUAUACUGGCUAUUAAAUAUUAAAAAUAAAAAAUUGUUUAAGUAACUUAAUUUUAAUUUUUUUAUACAUGCUAUUACAUGAGUUACCGCGUAUUGCGUGUAUAAACGAUGUGUUUUGCCAUUCUAUGGUGGGGGUGACGCCAAUGUGACGGCUCGUUUUUCGAAACUAAGUCCGAAUUCCAGUAGUUGUUAUCUAUCUCAGUGGUAUAACCGUUAUAUGUAGUAACGGGGAUGGUGGUUGUUAUGUCGAUCACGUGGUAGACAAUUCGGGCGGCCAUGUAUUAGGUUUAUCAGACAUAACCGACAGCACAAGCACAUACACAGGCUCAGGCGUCUGGCCCAGAAGCCCCCAAAUUAUACUGCUCAUAUUUUUUAUUGGUAUACACAUAAACAACACAAUGACUGAUUUUAAACAUACAGAACUCACUAUGCUUUAAGUUUUCAAUACUAAAACAACGUUUUCUUCUGCGUGUUUCAAAUAAAUUUAAUAUUUUAAUAUCCAUUGCAGUAAACUCUUUACU